UAUAAUAAAGAGACAAAACUAGGAGUUGAAGAGAAGCUGUAAUCCAAUUCUACCAUCUCUCUCUCUGGUAAAACCACUAAAUUUCCUUAGGAUUAGCUUUCAGUUUUGGUUGUGUCUGACGCAUGGGUUCGGCUUCGAAGCGGAUUUUGAAGGAGCUCAAGGAUCUGCACAAGGAUCCUCCUUCACAUUGCAGCGCAGGUCCAGUGGCUGAGGACAUGUUUCAUUGGCAAGCAACUAUCAUGGGAUCCACUGAAAGCCCUUAUGCCGGAGGAGUAUUUUUUGUUUCCAUUCAUUUUCCUCCUAAUUAUCCUUACGACCCACCAAAGGUGUUUGUUCUGUUCUGUUGCAGAAUGAGACAUUCUUAAGAU